rnacentral:piRNA from 1 species
UUUAUGUCCAACAUAAUCUUAUCUGGUUUC